AACGAACGCUGGCGGCAUGCCUAACACAUGCAAGUCGAACGAGAACUUCGGGUAUAGUGGCGCACGGGUGCGUAACGCGUGGGAACCUGCCCUUAGGUACGGAACAACUCCCCGAAAGGGGUGCUAAUACCGGAUAAUGUCAUCGGACCAAAGAUUUAUCGCCUUUGGAUGGGCCCGCGUUGGAUUAGCUAGUUGGUAGGGUAAAAGCCUACCAAGGCCACGAUCCAUAGCUGGUCUGAGAGGAUGAUCAGCCACACUGGGACUGAGACACGGCCCAGACUCCUACGGGAGGCUGCAGUGGGGAAUAUUGGACAAUGGGCAAGAACCUGAUCGAGCAAUGCGGCGUAGGUGAUGAUGGCCUUGGGGUUGUGAAGCUCUUUUACCCGGGAUGAUAAUGACAGUACCGGGAGAAUAAGCACCGGCUAACUCCGUG
rnacentral:rRNA from 1 species